rnacentral:rRNA from 1 species
AGAGUUUGAUCAUGGCUCAGGACGAACGCUGGCGGCGUGCUUAACACAUGCAAGUGGAGCGACGAACCAGGCUUCGGCCUGGGGCAAAGCCGCGAACGGGUGAGUAACACGUGGGUAACCUGCCCCGAUGAUUGGGACAACCCGAGGAAACUCGGGCUAAUACCGAAUGUGCCCUCUGGCCUCAAGGCCGCUGGGGAAAGGAAGCUUCGGCCUCCGCAUCGGGAUGGGCCCGCGGCCCAUUAGCUUGUUGGUGAGGUAACGGCUCACCAAGGCUGCGAUGGGUAGCUGGUCUGAGAGGACGAACAGCCACACUGGGAUUGAGAACGGCCCAGACUCCUACGGGGGGCAGCAGUGAGGAAUUUUCGGCAAUGGGCGCAAGCCUGACCGAGCAACACCGCGUGCAGGAGGACGCUUUUCGGAGUGUAAACUGCUUUUCCCAGGGACGAGGAUGGACGGUACCUGGGGAAGAAGCCCCGGCUAACUACGUGCCAGCCGCCGCGGUAAUAC